GACGAACGCUGGCGGCGUGCCUAACACAUGCAAGUCGAACGGAAAGGCCCUGCUUGCAGGGUGCUCGAGUGGCGAACGGGUGAGUAACACGUGGGUGAUCUGCCUCUUACUUUGGGAUAAGCCUGGGAAACUGGGUCUAAUACUGGAUAGGACCUUGCUUUAGGUGGUGUGGUGGAAAGAUUAGUUUCGGUAUGGGAUGAGCUCGCGGCCUAUCAGCUUGUUGUUGGGGUAGUGGCCUAGCAAGGCGUCGACGGGUAGCCGGCCUGCGAGGGUGGACGGCCACAUUGGAACUGUGCUACGGGCCAGAGUCCGGAGUGAGGCAGCAGUGGGGAAUGUUGCACAAUGGGCGCAAGCCUGAGGCAGGAAGGCCGCGUGGGGGAUGAACGCUGUCGGGUUGUAAACUCCUAUCUGCCAUGACGAGGGCCUUGUGGGGACGGAAGUGGUAAAAGAGGCACGGCCUAAUUCCGU
rnacentral:rRNA from 1 species